rnacentral:rRNA from 1 species
AUUGAACGCUGGCGGCAGGCCUAACACAUGCAAGUCGAACGGUAACAGGAAGCAGCUUGCUGCUUCGCUGACGAGUGGCGGACGGGUGAGUAAUGUCUGGGAAACUGCCCGAUGGAGGGGGAUAACUACUGGAAACGGUAGCUAAUACCGCAUAACGUCGCAAGACCAAAGAGGGGGACCUUAGGGCCUCUUGCCAUCGGCUGUGCCCAGAUGGGAUUAGCUAGUAGGUGGGGUAACGGCUCACCUAGGCGACGAUCCCUAGCUGGUCUGAGAGGCUGACCGGCCACACUGGAACUGAGACACGGUCCAGACUCCUACGGGAGGCAGCAGUGGGGAAUAUUGCACAAAGGGCGCAAGCCUGAUGCAGCCAUGCCGCGUGUAUGAAGAAGGCCUUCGGGUUGUAAAGUACUUUCAGCGGGGAGGAAGGGAGUAAAGUUAAUACCUUUGCUCAUUGACGUUACCCGCAGAAGAAGCAACGGCUAACUCCGUG